UUCGGACUAGAGUCUGCAACCCGACUCCACGAAGUUGGAUUCGCUAGUAAUCGCGCAUCAGCCAUGGCGCGGUGAAUACGUUCCCGGGCCUUGUACACACCGCCCGUCAAGCCAUGGGAGCCGGGGGCGCCUGAAGUCCGGGACCGCGAGGACCGGCCUAGGGCGAAACUGGUAACUGGGGCUAAGUCGUAACAAGGUAGC
rnacentral:rRNA from 1 species